rnacentral:lncRNA from 1 species
CGCACCAGGAAUGAGUGUGAGCAUCUGUCAGCAGAGACACGGACCCUUCACUACCUACAAUGGAGCCCCAGGUGCCGGGACAGAUGCCCAGGGCUGGACUCCUACUACUCCCCCUUCUCUUCUGCUUUGGGCCAGAGACCGCCGGGAGCAUUGACCCGGCCACGCUCAAAGUGAUCGUGGAUUAUGUGAACCAGCCCCUCACUCUAGGUGAAUCUCAAUACGCCUUCAUUGUGAGCCUGCCCCGUGAGAAGUGUAACCAACCCAACAACCUGCAGGAGCAGCUGCCCGAGGCAGUGCUGAGUGCCAUGAAUCAGGCGCUCUCUAGGCAAGGUGUGCCGUACGCCCCGGAUGACUCGCCUAUCAUAGCUGCCCGGCCUAGACGUCGGGGGGCUCACUGGCAGCACAGCGAGUGGCGCCUGCUCCACGGAGGCCAGAACAGCUUGGUGGCCAAGCUCAAGGCCAGGACCUGCAGACUGAACUGCUGCCUGAUCUUAUUCACCUUCAACUCGCCCUGCACGAGCAUGUGCCUGCUGGUAAAUGGGCCUUACAACAUCAUUGGCAUGACCCGUGACGCCUUCUUGGACAUUGACAACAACUACAAGGCCUUCGUCUUCCAGAGGAUCUUUCACAAUGAUACUUUGCCCCCGAUGACCCGCCAGAACCUGUUGGAUGCUUGGCACCGGCUGCCCGCCGUGCCCCUGCUGCGCUGCAACAACAACGGCUGCCAGGACUGCGCUUCGGUGGACCCCCAAAACAACCCCUGCCUGGCUGGGAUGAUGUAAAUGGUGGAGAUGAGCCAGGAAGCGUGUGGGGCUCACUCUGCCACUGGUCCUCCUUGCAUGUGCUUCUGGCUCACUGAGUGUAACAGAAACAUGUCCCAACUGUGUGCCAAAUGCCAAUCUAGAACCCCAUUCUUGUGUGUGUGUCCCGAUCUAGAAGCCCGUCCCUCUCCCCAGGUGUGCUCCAAUCCAGAAGUGCCACCACCACAUUGCAUCUCAAGCUCCAUUCUUAACCUUCAUCCCCUGCAGAUUGUGCCAUGCUCCAAUUGAGAACAUGAUCCCCAUCCCUGGGAGUCUCUGAGCUGCAGCCCAGAAGGCACAUCCACCCAGUGAGCUGAGAACUCUGAUCUAGAACUCAACUGCCAUUCCUACA